UUAGAAGUAAUAGUAUAAUAUAAAAAAUAUAAAAAGUAAAUAGUAAUUAUUCCAUUUAAGUAUUUAUAAUUCAAAUAAUAAUAGAGGACUACUAAUUAUUUAAUUAAUGAUUACAUAAUUAUUCAUGUAAUAUUGAGUGAUUAUAUCUAUCGCUACUGAACUAAAUAACUGACCCAUGGUAAAUUGAUGUUCGUUGUAGGGGCUCCUUUUCCCUAUAAAGAUUAUUCAUCAGAGACACCUUCCACACAACCUCUUUUGCUCUCUUUGCUCAGCUAGCAACAUAAUCGAUCAGGACGUAAUGGCUCUUUCUAAGGCAUCAAUCCUCUUUGUUACAAUCUUGCUAGUGAUGUCCUCUCAUCAAGUGUUCUCUGCGGAAAAAACUGAAUUCCCAGAAACUAAUAAGCUAGUUACAGGAAGGAAAUUAGCUCAAACCACAUAUGGUCCUCCCGGUGGAUAUGGAGGAUAUCCAGGAGGAGGAGGAGGAUGCUACCGACCGCAAUGUAAUUAAGGGUGCAAUAUAUAGGAACGGUAAUAGGGAAAAGUUAUAUCUAGAAAGCAAAUAAAUGGGUGGCAUAUGGUAUGUAUAUACAUCAUGCCAAUCCUGUGCUGCUGUUUCUGUUUAUUCGACGACUGGAGUCCUAAGACUGUAAGAGCAUAUGUUUAGUAUGUGUAAUUGAACGCUGUCUGCAGAUGCCAAGUCAUAUGCUUCGAGUCGCAGCGAUGCAAGUUGUUGUUGGUUAUUUUUAUUACUUUCUGGUCUGGUUCAUUCCAUAUAUAUAUGUGCGUGUAUAUGUAUAUAAUAUGAUGUUCGAUUCUCCUUUAUAUUAGGAUGAAGUAUGUAAUAAUACCAUGUUUUAAGUUGCUGAUUAUGUCAGUAUCAUUUGGAUCC